rnacentral:rRNA from 1 species
AUUGAACGCUGGCGGCAUGCUUUACACAUGCAAGUCGAACGGUAACAGGCCGCAAGGUGCUGACGAGUGGCGCACGGGUGAGUAAUGCAUCGGAACGUGCCCAGUCGUGGGGGAUAACUACUCGAAAGAGUAGCUAAUACCGCAUACGAUCUAUGGAUGAAAGCGGGGGACCGUAAGGCCUCGCGCGAUUGGAGCGGCCGAUGUCAGAUUAGGUAGUUGGUGGGGUAAAGGCUCACCAAGCCAACGAUCUGUAGCUGGUCUGAGAGGACGACCAGCCACACUGGGACUGAGACACGGCCCAGACUCCUACGGGAGGCAGCAGUGGGGAAUUUUGGACAAUGGGCGCAAGCCUGAUCCAGCAAUGCCGCGUGCAGGAAGAAGGCCUUCGGGUUGUAAACUGCUUUUGUACGGAACGAAACGGCUCUGGUUAAUACCCGGGGCUAAUGACGGUACCGUAAGUAUAAGCACCGGCUAACUACGUG